ensembl:lncRNA
ACUGAGGUCCCACUUAAUGGGUUAACAAUCAUGCUCAAAAUGAGGCCAGUCAGCACAGUUGAUUCUUUCAGCAGGCAUAUUCAGCUGUUCUGGUAAACACAGAGCUGGGUUUUGCCAGGGUGGUAGUUCUGCUAAGCAACUUUGACAAAGUGAGAAGAGGGUAAGAGAUUUCAUGGGUCCUGAAGUGAGUGAUUACAACAUGAUAAUGACCAGAGAAUUUAUGCUGAGUAGAUAGGACCCCAAGUAAAAGGAAGGAAGGACUUUCAAAGGGAUUAGAAAUCCCCAUGAUUUAGAGGGAUUGGAGGAAUAGGGGUAUUAGAAAGAAUGAACUGGAAAAAAUAGGAGGUAGGGUCAGAAAAUGCUUCCUUUGUAAGGACUGUGCUAAAAAUGAAUGAAUGGGGAUUUCUCUGGUGGUACGGUGGAUACCCUGGUAGCUCAGAUAGUGAAGAAUCUACUUGUAAUGUGGUAGACCUGGGUUCGAUCUGUGGGUCAGGAAGAUCCUCUGGAGAAGGAAAUGGCAACCCACUCUAGGAUUCUUGCCUGGAAAAUCCCAUGGACAGAAGAGCCUGGUGGGCUACAGUCCAUGGGGCCACAAAGAGUUGGACAUGACUGAGCGACUAACACAUAGGGUCAGAAUGGAAUGUGUCCAAUUAAGAUUUUGAAAAUGCAUCUAAAAUCUUAGGGUAAUAUCUGGCACAAAUCAAAUACUCAAUUAUAAAUAGCUCUUGUUUGGAGUUCAUAAUACCUGUCCAAAACCUUUGAGGCCAGAUAUGUUUCAUAAUCCAGUCCUUCAGAUUGUAGGAUGAAGUCUUGGAAAGCUUUCCAUAAUCAAGUAUACUUGUAUUUCUUCAGUGAAAUAUAUGAAUAUUAUAUGAAUAUCCCACAUUAAGUGGGAUACAUAGCCAAAGGUAGGCUUAGGCUAGACUUUGCUAUCCAAUAAGUUUUGGCACUAAACUUAAAAAGCAGACAGUUUUUGUCUUGGGGACUUCCCUGGUGCUCCUGUACUUAAGAAUCUGCCUGCUGAUUCAGGGGACAUGCUUUGGAUCCCUGCUGGUUCAAGAAGAUCCCACAUGUCGCAGGGCAGCUAAGCCUGUGUGCCACAACUACUGAACCCAUAAAGCUCUAAGAGUCCAUGCUCCACAACAAGAGAAGCCACUACAAUGAGAAACCCAUGCACCGAAUACAGAGUAGCUUCCCACUUUUCCCAACUAGAGAAAGCUGUGUGCAACAAUGACCCAGCACAGCCAAAAUAAAUAAAUAAUUAAGAGCCUUUGAGAUUUAAGAAUUGCAGACAAGAGAAGGUGAACCUGUACUGGCAUUUAGACUAAGAGUUAAGGAAUUAUGGGCAAUCACUUUAUCUCUCUAGAUAUUAGUUAUUUCUGUAUGAAAAGAAGACUUUGAAAAAUUUCUUAGCUACUUUGAGCUCAACAUUUUACGUUUCAUUGAUACCCUUUGCUGGGCUUUAAAAAUUUUACUCAUAAACUAUUUACAGUUGAAUAAAGAGGGUUGGCCUAAAUUUUAAUAAAUGAGCUUAUUUUGAUUGUUAUGAUCUUGGGGUGACUAUUACAGUCUUGGGGAUUCCCUGGCAGUCCCAAGGACUCUGUGCUUCCACUGCAGGGUGCGUGGGUUCCAUCCCUGGUUGGGGAACUAGGAUCUCAUAUACCUUGUGGUAUGGGGGAAAGAAAAAAGCACAGCAAAACAAACAAAAAACUAUUAUAGUCCUGCUUAAACUGAUAAUAUCAGAAGAGUUUAGAACCUUUUCUUUUGCAUUUUCAAGGCUAAGAACAAUAUAAAUCAAUCACAGGCAUUUGAACAUCUAUCAAAUUUGGUGAAACCUCACAGGUCAGAGGCCCACUCAGACCCCACACUGAACUAGUUGGUCAGCAGGGUGGCUGCUUCAUUACAAGCGAACCAUUACUACUGCCGCAGCAUUGGGGCUGACCUGGGAACGAACCCAGCUGAAUUCCAGAGUGAUGUGGCGCUUGGAUAAAGGACACACUGCAAAUUGACUAGACAUCAACUCAUGGAAACCUAAAGAGGGUAAUCAUGUUUGUGAUCUGGGAGGAUGGCCAGGCUGGGGAGGGGGUUGGCAUUUGGAGCCUCUCAGCUACUCUGUUAAUCUAGCUUCUAAUAGAGUACCUGGCACACAGCAGGGGCUGAACACAUGUUUGUGGACUGAGUGACAUUUGUGUCGUGGUGCUCUGCUGGGUAGACCUCAGUGCUGACAGUUGUGGUUGUUGUUGCCUGAGCCCAGAGCUCAUUAAAGUAUAAAGAGUCUUCACACUCAAGGUCCCCUGGGAGCAUUUCUCUGAUAUUCCAGAGUGGAACCCGGGAUCAAGAGAAGCAAGAUCGAAGAUUAAAUUCAGCGUAUUAAAGACACAGGCAGAAGACCAGGGCCAAGAUCAACGCCCAGGCUUCCAAAUGCCUGGCUGGCUGCCGCCUCUGGCAGGAAACAUUGCCCUAUCCUCCAGGGAUGGAAUGGCCCAGAAAAUAUUGAACAGAAAGGGGAAUGAGAGUUGGGUCUGGGCCUUCCUUCCCCACACUGGCUGCACAGGCGUUCAGCCGGCUUUGCUUCCUGUGUCUCAGAGGACACUGUCUCCACCAGUUCCUCUCUCUUCCCCUCCCCCUUGCCUGGAGUGUAACCAGGCGUUCUCAGAUCCCCGUGUUGGAGUGAGGCGGAUGGCGGACACAUGUGGGCCAACUGCCUGCAGCUUCAGUUGAUCCUGGCUUGGGAGUGAGGAGAGG